UUUAUCUAUGUUCCACUUCCUCUCUCUCUCUCCUCCCUCAUUUCUUCUCAUGAUCCUCUAUCUUCGUUCUCUCUCUCUCUGUUUUUUUUUGGUUAAAUUGAUCCUCUAUCUUCGUUUUGGCGCCCCUAGAUUUUUGAUAUUUCGUCCUUUCCUUAUUUGGCUAUCAGUGAGGCUCUAAAAUUUGCUUCAGACGAACCAAGUUGCAGAUGCCUUACCUUAAAUGCACAACCACUUAUCUCUUCUUCUUCUUCUUCUUCUUCUUCUUCUUCUUCUCCUUCUUCAUGUUUUUGUCAGCUUCUUCACUUCAUUCUAUGAAAUGAAAGUGCAAUGUCCACAUAAGAUUUCAAGUGACCGAAACAAUCCCACACCCCAGGCGGUUGUCAUGUCGUUUUGUUGGGGGGGGAGCCAUGGUGAGGUCGUGAGUCAGAAACCACGAGCUCUGCCUAGUCAACACCGCUCGAGUUUUUAGCUGGUUUUGGAUUCAAAUCUCAAGCUUUCUAGGUUAUCUUUUUUUUCACCAAAGACAGUCGAUCUUUUUCGCUCCUUUCAGGCUCAACAAGAUGAAUAAUAUGAUAUGUCUUGGUAUUGGUGUGCUUAAGCAUGCAAGUAAAAGUGAUUAUCUGCAACUUUAAAUGGGGGAAGAAUUGUAUGCAUGACUUCGCUUCUGCGCAUAAAACACGUCCCAUUUUGUAUUCCUCUUAUCGAUCUAUAUUCCCCCUUUUUUUUUCCUUCUCACUCUUGUUCCUCCUUUUCUACUCACACUCAUCUUCUUUUUUUGAGCCUUUGGGUUUUCGAUUUCUUGUCCUUCGCCUAUUUAACUGUCAAUAUGAUCCUCCAAAAUCUGCUUCGGGCUAUCCAAUUCGCAGAUGCUUGGCCCUAAACGCAACCUCUCAUCUUGUCUUCAUCUUUGCGUCUUCAUCAGCUUCUUCAAUUGAUUCUGUGAAAGUGCAGAGUGCACGUAAACUUUGCUUUCAGGUGCCCGACACGGCUUGUCAUGUCGUGUGGCAGGGGGACAUGGCGACUCCGUGAGUCCAGAAACCACGACCUAUGCCCGGUUAAGUACAUCAUGCAAUCUCAAUGAUCUGUAAAUGUUUACUUGCUAAUUGCAACUACACUAUGCGCCUGCUCUACUGGUGGAGCUAAUAGGACAAUAUGUCCGCACCGUGUGAAUGGGUAUGAUAGUGACAUGCGAAUGCACGUUUUGUCCCUGUGUGAGCUUAUUAGCUCUGGCUCAGUCUCUUGCUCUGUUCGUCUACUAGUUGGGGCUGAUUGCUACGUAUAUCUGAAAAAUAAAAUUACAAUACCACCUAUAUUGGACUGUGUUGGGAGACUGGUGGCCUUACCAGUACUAGGCAUUCUACGAAGCGGGCAAGAAUGGACAGCUGAAGAGGAAGAUUGGCGAUUCUUUUAAUAGCAUGAGACUCUGUUUCAAAUAUCACAAUCAGGUGGCUUAUAUUUCAAAGAUGAGUUUGAGAAGAUCCGAGAAAACCAAGGGGUUCUUGAUGAUGACGGGAAUUGCAUUCCCACCACCCAGCUCACGGAGGUGAAAAUGUUGGCUAUGGUAGCUGGGGGGCCGGAACAAGAAUGGUCGUAUUUUUGGGUUGAGCUACCUCGCCGACUUACCCUCAUCCGGUCUUGCAAGUGACCUCGCCGGCUCCUCCCAUUAAUUUGAGGAGGAAAUCGAUAAUAUGAGGAGGACGGUCGAUGAGCUUAAUGCGACCAUGCUAGUGCAGGUAGAGCACGAGAGAAACCUAAUGAUGGUGAGAGCUGAAGAAGCUCAGAAGGAGCAACAAGUCGACUCUGAAACUCUUGGACGAACAAAAGAAGAUGUUUGCCAAUCUAGCAAAACAUUUGGGCAGGUCAAAGAAAAAGCAGCAUUCAUCUGAGACACCAAUAAUGCCUGGUGACUCCAAGGGGAUCCCCCUGCACGAUUCUCAAGCCGACAAUGAUAGCGAUGAGGAUGAAGAUAGUGUAAGUGAUACUGAUGAUGAUGGUGUUGGUGACACUGAUGAUGGUGAUGAUGGCCAUUAGGCGUGUUCCAUUCGACUUUUAGUUUAUUAGAAAUAGUGAUAUGCUAUGGUUUGCGAUGGUGUUAGGUAUAUCGGACAUGUGGAUGGUUUUUACUGUCUUGUUUCAUUUUGUGGAAGAACUAAUUCAUGUGGAAUAUGUUGGACGCAUGUAGAUUGUUGGUUAUGAAU